UGGGGAAUAUUGCACAAUGGGCGCAAGCCUGAUGCAGCAACGCCGCGUGAGGGACGACGGCCUUCGGGUUGUAAACCUCUUUUAGUAGGGAAGAAGCGAAAGUGACGGUACCUGCAGAAAAAGCACCGGCUAACUACGUGCCAGCAGCCGCGGUAAUACGUAGGGUGCGAGCGUUGUCCGGAAUUAUUGGGCGUAAAGAGCUCGUAGGCGGUCUGUCGCGUCUGCUGUGAAAACCCGAGGCUCAACCUCGGGCCUGCAGUGGGUACGGGCAGACUAGAGUGCGGUAGGGGAGAAUGGAAUUCCUGGUGUAGCGGUGGAAUGCGCAGAUAUCAGGAGGAACACCGAUGGCGAAGGCAGUUCUCUGGGCCGUAACUGACGCUGAGGAGCGAAAGCGUGGGGAGCGAACA
rnacentral:rRNA from 1 species